ACUACUUGAUGAAGUUUGAAUCUUUUUACAAACUAUCAGAGAAUGGUAUUGACAUGUAUGAAUCAAAUGAAUUUGAGGCCUGCGGCUAUAAGUGGUAAUGAACAUCCAUUGUUAUUUUCUCGAUUCUUUUGAAUUUCCGUCGCAUUUCUCCAGAAAAAGGAAUUUUUAGUGAAUUUCUUAAUACAUACACAUGGUCUGGACAAAAUAGCUACUGGUUCAUGUGAACCCAUAACUUGUAAGCUUGGUCCGCUCUUGUCGAUGGCAUUGAGAGUGUUCACUUAAAAAAGUUGUAGACAUAUUUGCAGAACUAUUCCUAAAUAUGCGAUGGAGAAUCAAUUAAAGAAUUAUACUUAGCAUCCAAAGCGCAGGAGUGCAUCAUUCUUGAAAGCUAAAAUUAGUUGCUACUGAUGCAGAUUACUCAUGUUGCAUUUGUAGUGUAUUUCAGAGUGCAGUUGGCGGAAUCCUCAUCACAUGAAGAAAGAGUUAUGUAAUUCUAGACAUGAAUCUAAGAAAUCAGGUUAAGAUACUCUCAAAAAUGCUGCCGCACCCGUGUGCGAUCCCCCAAAAAUACACCAAUUUUUCAGGAUCCGACACGGAUCCAGGAGAGUCCGACCAACAAAGGAAGUUGAUCAUCUAUCCCAAUGGGGAUGACAACAUAGAGGGAAACGAUUACAUCUCUGUCUACUUGGCCAUUGCGAAUGACAGCUCCUUACCUGGUGGUUGGGAGGCUAAUGCUGUGUUUAGCUUCUUUUUGUUUAAUCAUCUUUGUGAGAACUAUCUUGUUAUACGUGGUCAAGUGCUGCGAUUUCACAAGGUCAAGUCCAAAUGGGGUUUCUCCAAGUUUAUCUCUCACAAAGCACUGAAAGAGCAGUCCGAUGGAUACCUUGUCGAUGACAGUAUCAUUAUCGGAGCUGAGGUAUUCGUCGUCAAGAGCCAAUGAGUUGGUGAAUGUGUGUCGAUGUUGGAAGACAUCGAGACUAAUAAGCACGAAUGGAAGAUCUUUGAGUUUUCAAAAUUAGGGGAGUCUUGUUUUUCUAAAGAGUUUUCUGUUGGGGAUUACAAAUGGUAUGUCAUUGAUGUCAGAUGCAGAUCCAGGAUUUAAAUUCCAUGGUUUCAACCUUUAAAGUUUUUAGCAUUUAAUCCAUUAUGUUUUUAAAGUUAUGAGUUCACAUCUACUAUUUGUUGUAACUGUAAUGAAUUUUACACAAAUUUGUACUCCGCGACUAAAGUACUAAGUUCAGUUGAACCUGGUACCGAAGUGUUGGAUCUGCCCCCGAUUGAUGUAUUCAUAUACGUUAUAUACUAUUUCAGUUUGGUGUUUGAUGUAUUCAUAUACCUGAUGUUUGAUGCAGGAAUUUAUGUUUGGAUGCAGGACUAUUUCAGUUUGGUGUUUGAUGUAUUCAUAUACCUGAUGUUUGAUGCAGGAAUUUAUGUUUGGAUGCAGGACUAUUUCAGUUUGGUGUUUGAUGUAUUCAUAUACCUGAUGUUUGAUGCAGGAAUUUAUGUUUGGAUGCAGGACUAUUUCAGUUUGGUGUUUGAUGUAUUCAUAUACCUGAUGUUUGAUGCAGGAAUUUAUGUUUGGAUGCAGGAAAAUUCGGAUUUAUCCUAACGGUGUUUGUUGUCAAAGGGACCAAAGCAUCUCUAUCUAUCUUACAUCAGUUGAUGCUGAGGGAUUUGGUUGCCGAAAAAGGGUUAAGGCAAAAGUCACUCUUUCUGUCAAAGACCAGAUAAGUGGUGAACAUCACAAGAAAGUUUUUUCAAAUUGGUUUUCAGCUGUUGAUGACAGUCUGGGUUUGCAUGCAUUUAUGCCGCUACAUGAAUUCAAGGAUCCAAAAAGAGGCUUCCUUGUCAAAGAUUGCUGCAUUGUCGAAGCAGAUGUUUCUCUGUCAUUGGUGUUGUCAAUGGCCUAACCUAAUUGUUGUUUAUCUAUUUAACAAGCAAAUAUUACAUAAUAUUUUGCUCGCACUUGGACUAAACAUCUUAAGUUUAGUAAUUCUGUAAGCCACUUUAUUGAACAUAACUUAUGACAUGUUCUGAUCUGCAAGUGUUUGAAUUGAUUAUGCAUAGGUUUCUCAUCU